rnacentral:rRNA from 1 species
AUUUCUCGCAAGAGAGAUGAGUUCCUAGCGGCGAACGGGUGAGUAACACGUGGGCAACCUUUCCUAUCGCGGGGGAUAACACCGGGAAACCGAUGCUAAUACCGCAUGUCGUCACUGAUCGCAUGGUUGGUGAAGAAAGCAGCAAUGCACGAUGGGGUGGGCCCGCGGCCUAUCAGCUAGUCGGUGGGGUAACGGCCUACCGAGGCGAUGACGGGUAGCUGGUCUGAGAGGACGGCCAGCCACACGGGGACUGAGACACGGCCCCGACUCCUACGGGAGGCAGCAGUGAGGAAUCUUCCGCAAUGGGCGAAAGCCUGACGGAGCGACACCGCGUGUGGGAUGAAGUCUUUCGGG